ensembl:lncRNA
GUCUAGCUCCAUAUACACUACAAACAAUAACUGGUGGUCAUACAAAUGAGUGUUUGGAAUAAUCCUGAGCAAAGAAAACUAGGUUUUCAGUAGCCCACUGAAAGCUGUGAGCUCAUUUAUUUGUGGGAAAAGUAAAUGAGCAAAUGUAAUCAUUUUAUCCAGUUGUUUUCACAGGUCAGAAGCUGAGGCAGAUGCUAUUUUAUUCCCCCUGUGCUGACAAGUUGCAUGUUCAGUGACUAAAAUAAACCCCAAGUAGAAGUCAAUUGCCCGAAUAUAGCCUGUUGUCAAUGCUCUGCUGUAUUCACGACAUCUGUGACUCAGAGGAGCUCAGCAAUGGGACAGGAGGCAACGGCCACAAGCUGGAACAAGAGAAAUUCUGGUUGCGUGCAUGGGAAAAAAUGGUUUUGCCAUGCAAAUGGUCAAGUGCUGGACCAAGUUCGCCAGAGACAAUGUGGAAUCUCCAUCCUUGGAGAUACUCAACACUAUUCAAGGCCCUAAGCUGUGUACUAGAUGAUCCUGCUUUGAGGGUUGGACUGAGAUCUAUGGAUGUCCAUUACAACCUGAAUUAUUUUAUUUUUCUGUGAUUCUGUGGCCUAUGGAGUCCUCACACGUUUUGAAGAGUUGGCUAAAGGCCAGGCAGGGCACCUCAAGGGUAUCUGGAAUGCCUGUACAUUUCCCUGGGGAGAUUCAGUUGCAACAUAUUUUGCUGGAGUCUCUGCCCCUCCAUGAGCUGGAAAAGAAAAAAUGUUCCUUGCCAGCACUGCUGAUUUGCCCAUCUUUAUUCCCAGUCAAGCUACUCCGUGUUUCCAGAUUUGCCUUUCAGAGAAAACGCAGUCAUUGAGUUUACUGUCUAAGCCUUGGAUCUGUGACCCAUAUUUUGGGGAAGUCAGGGGAGUGGCCCUCCCUCUCCUCCUUCCCUUUUGUAACAUCCCCGCAGCACAAGAGUAAAUGCAGUGCAAAUCCCUGUGCUCCAAAACCUCAGCCCUGUGUUCCAGAACAGCACAGCUUGAUGUAGUUAGCUACAUGCUGAAAGAGUGUAGCAGAAGCCAGGAAAGCUGGUUUGGAAUCACACAGCCUUCUCAGUGGCAUCCAUUCUUCAAACAAAUCCAUGACAGAAGUGCCAAAAUCUGCAGGCUCGCACCUUGGAAUGCCACAGGGGAAACCACCAGCGAGCAACAGGGAGAGAUUUCCCUUCGUUCUGAUGUGACACAUAUGUUAACUUUCAGUUUUAAUCCUUUUUGUCAUUGAUAUGGAUGACCACCAAAAAAAAAUAAGGUGGCUUUCUAGAGCGCCAGUACCACAGGAAUGUAUCUAUCUCUAUUGGAGAUUCGCAGAAAAUCCAGCAAGUAUCAGGAAAGAAGGCAAAACCUAAACACAUGGUGAUCAGCUUCCUCAAUGUACUGUCUGUAACUGCCCUAGAGAAGUUCUGGUGGGAACAGAAGCCUGAGAAAACAGAACUCCGCAGGCUCUGUUUGGGUUCUUACAGGGAAAGGAUCCUGUUAUUCCUCUUAUCCAGCAAGUGAGCUCCUUCCUUGCUCUCUGUCCCUCCAGCAAUGAAGGUGAUGAGUCCUGGUCCGGUGGCAGCUGCUGCCAUGCCCCAUCGCCCCCACCCCUCCUUGCCCUCACACUGCCACCACACUUUUUGACAUGGUUUGGGACAGCCAGUCUCUAUAUUCUCAUACUCAGGAAAUCAGCAACCUGAAAAUGAGAUCAGACAGUGAGAUUUUGCCCAAGCAAUUGUGUUUCUUGACUCAACUUUGGCCACUGGUCUUGGAGGUACCAUACAGGAUAGCCAGAUACCACAAUGGGGCAAACCCACGCUUGUGGCUUCAAUGGGUCAUAGAAUCACAGAAUCAUGGAACCAUUAAGGUUGGAAAAGACCUUGAAGAUCAUCUAGUCCAACUGUCAGCCCACCCCCACCGUGCCCACUGACCAUAUCCCUCAGUGCCACAUCUCCAUGUUUCUUGAACACCUCUAGGGACGGUGACUCCACCACCUCCCUGGGCAGCCUGUGCCAAGGCGUCACCACUCUUUCUGAGAAGAAAUGUUUCCUCGUAUCCAACCUGAACCUCCCCUGGCACAACUUCAGGCCAUUACCUCUCGUCCUAUUGCUGUUACCUGGGAGAAGAGGCUGAUCCCCACCUCACCACAACUUCCUUCCACAGCAGUCACACAAUAACCCAAUCUUCCUCUAAGGUAUGAAGAAAUAAAUGUGAAGGGUUGGGUAAGAUUUGGUACA